rnacentral:rRNA from 1 species
GACGAACGCUGGCGGCGUGCCUAAUACAUGCAAGUUGAGCGCUGAAGGGAGGUACUUGUACCAACUGGAUGAGCAGCGAACGGGUGAGUAACGCGUGGGGAAUCUGCCUUUGAGCGGGGGAUAACUAUUGGAAACGAAAGCUAAUACCGCAUAACAACUUUAAACACAAGUUUUUAGUUUGAAAGAUGCAAUUGCUUCACUCAAAGAUGAACCUGCGUUGUAUUAGCUAGUUGGUGAGGUAAUGGCUCACCAAGGCGACGAUACAUAGCCGACCUGAGAGGGUGAUCGGCCACAUUGGGACUGAGACACGGCCCAAACUCCUACGGGAGGCAGCAGUAGGGAAUCUUCGGCAAUGGGCGAAAGUCUGACCGAGCAACGCCGCGUGAGUGAAGAAGGGUUUCGGAUCGUAAAACUCUGUUGGUAGUGAAGAACGGGGGUGAGAGUGGAAAGCUCAUCAAGUGACGGUAACUACCCAGAAAGGGACGGCUAACUACGUG